AAACCGGUUUGCAUAUUCUAGUGCAACAGUUUUCAAUGGAAGCAGGAGGGGAUUUUGCACCCCGCCUCCCCAGGAGACAUUUGGCAAAUUCUGAAGACAGUUUUGGUUGUCAGAACUGGGGAAAAGGGGGUGCUGCUGAUACCUAGAGGGUAGAGGCCAGGGAUGCUCCUGAAUAGUCUACAAAACAGAGGAUGGGACCUCAUAACAAAAAAUGUCAGUAGUGCUGAGGUUGGUGUAGUAUAUUUGGGGAAGGGAGUGUGAUUCCUGGUAUAAAACAUUUCAUCUACUAACCCAAUAAUAAUGAUUGUCAACACUUACUAAAUUCUUAUUAUUGUGCUAGCCACCAUUCUAAUUAUCUUACAUGUGUUAUCGUAUAUAAUACUCGAACAGUUAUGACUGGACUUUACAGGUCAGGGAACUGAGGUUUUGAAAGGUUAAGUGACUUGUCCAAGAUCACACAGCCAGUAGGUGGCAGAAAAACUAAGAUCUUUCAGUAGACAGAGGACUCGCUCACCACGCUGCUGUGGGGCUGAGCAGUGUGUAGGGUGCUGCAAAGACCAGUUACUUCUCUGAAGGAACUCACUUUUAGUCCGGGAGACAGUGAGUGCAAUCGAGGGGGAUGGACUUGGGAAGGGCAGGAAUUCAUGGGCUAAAAGGCAGAGAUUUGUUUUGGAUUGCCAGGAUUUUUUAUUAAGAAGAGGAAGAAUUUGGGGUAUCUGGGUGGCUCAGUCGGUUAAGUGUCUGCCUUCAGCUCAUGAUCUCGAGGUGCUGGGAUCAAGCCCUGCGUUGGACUCUCUACCCAGCAGAGAGUUUGCUUCUCCUUUUCCCUCUGUGCGCUCUCUCUCUCAAAUAAAUAAAAUUAAAAAAAUAAUCAUAAUAAGAGGGGGCGCCUGGGUAGCUCAGUUGGUUAAGUGACUGCCUUUGGCUCUGGUCAUGAUCCCCGAGUCCUGGGAUUGAGUCCCGCAUUGGGCUCCCCCUGUUCUGCAGGGAGCCUGCUUCUCCCUCUCCCUCUCCCUCUGCCACUCCCCCUGCUUGCACAUGCUCUCUCUCCUUCUCUCUCUGUCAGAUAAAUAAAUAAAAAUCUUUAUUAAAAAAAGAGGAAGAACUUAUUUAUUUCCUUUAUUUUGUUUUAGCUUCCAUGUCGAAAGCUAGGCGUGAUGUGGGUUUUUUCCCUUUAGAUGGUUAGGUUUAAUAGGCAGCCUUGUUGGAAGCAUGAAAGAGACCAGUUGACCUUGAAGAUUCCUUUCAACUAGGAAAUUCUGGGAUUGACUUUGUCGUAUGCAGCAGUUUUGUAUUAUCCUUCUAUCUUUUUGUUUGUCCUCUGGCAUUUAAGAGUAAUUUGGCUUUACAGAUACCCUUCCACAGCCCUUUUGAUAGGUUUAAUCUUUUCUACACCCCCAAGAAAGGGUGCUGUUAUUUGGAAAUAUAUGUGAACACUUGAUGUGUAACAAGGAAGCCUUUCAUGACCGAAGGCAGAGCAGCCUGGUCCUCCGCUGAAAGCGAGCCAAUCCUGAUUGGUUGGAGCUGAUGGAAAUGGACAGCUGUAUUUAUUUUCUCAGGCACUGACAUUUAAGCAAAUGUAGCCCCCAACAGGGGGUGGUGGUAGCAGGACAGAAGGCUCUGUAGCCAAACACCACUUGGGGCAGCCCCCAGACUAUAGGCUCUGAGGUCGUUGUUCUGCUGCCACCCCUUUCUCUCGCCUUCCCCAGUCCCUCUGCCCACACUCCCCACCCUCAGUCAAAAUACAGAAGGUUCUGCUGCACAGAGAAACCCUGUGGAAUUCGCAGCUUUGCCUUUUCCUUUUAUUUUUCCGGUACUUCUGUGAUACCGCACACAGGUGGUGGUGGCCGCUGUCCUGGCUUUCUAUUUUUGUCUUUUUUUUUUUUUUUUUUAAGCUAAGCACUGAAAGAGGCAGUCAGUUAUCCGCUCACUACAGGUCUUCCUCCCCACUCAGAACCCCAGAUGUCUCCUGCCUUUCCCCAGUAUUGUCCACUACCAUCCCCUACCCCGCUGGGAGCUUCAGAUGUGAACUCAUCGUUUCUGGGGCUCACUGUCUUUGCAUAAACAUUAGUAUACACGCAGCUCAUUUUACUUUUAUUUUCCCUCGCCAAACUAGGCACGGUGAGUGGAAGUCAUAAAAAUUUGUUUCAGGUCUCAGCCCUCCUCUCUCUCUCGUAUGGCCAUACACCCUGUCCCCUGGAUGAUAGUCUAGAUCAGGGGUUGGCAGACUUUUACUGUAAAGGACCAGAGAGGAAAUACUUUAAGCUUAUGAGCCACAUCAGUGGUCUCUUUCACAUAUUCUUCCUUUUAUUUUUUCUCUUUUUUUUUUUUUUUUUAAACAACCGCUGUAGAAAUGAAAAUGCCACUCUUCGCUUGCUGGGUGCACGGAGCUCAUCCUCUGGCCAGGAGUAGGAGAGAGAGCAUGUGCAAGCAGGGGGAGUGGCAGAGGGUUAAUUCAUUAACCCCCGUUCCAGAUUCUUUCCCACUCAAAGUGUGGUCUGUGGACCAGCCGUACGGCUAUCAUCCUGGAGCUUGUUAGACAUGCCGAAUCUCAGACCCCGCUCCGAAGUCAGAAUUAGUAUCUGUGUUUUAAACGCAGCCCCUCCUCCCCCAGCAAGUCACAUGCACAUCGGACUUUGAGAAGUACUGGUUUUUAAAUACCGUCUGUGUGUGGUGAUGCCCAUGUUUCUUUCUCCAUCCCUCCCUCCAAGGACUCCAGGCUCAUUGCAAUAAGCGCCUACCUGACAUCUCUCUUCGGAGGUCCUAGGUACCUCCUAGGUAAAAUGUGAGACUCAGACACACUAAUGUCUUUAAAAACACUUAGCACAUAUUGAAUAAUAACUGCUAUGAUUAUUCUCACGUGCGGGGCCCUACGCUGGGUCCUGGAGCUUGAGAUGAAUAAGACACCCGCUCUGCCCGUAGUCUUGUUUGGGGAGGGACGUUCCCCCAGUUACUAUGUGAAAGAGGGAAGUAAACUCAACAGGGUUUGGUCAUUGCCUGGAUGUAGGGAACAGAGGUUUCGACCCACUAGGUGCUUCCUAAAUGCUGCUGAAAAAUGAACCCACAAACUGACUAGGCUGUUUUUCCUGUGGGCCAAGUGUUCCACAACCACGAGGUGGCGGCAUUGCCAAAGUAUUCCUGUGGCCGGCUCCUUUGGCCUCUUUGCUGGAGUCUUCUGGGCCCUGGCCCCACCUUUCCAAUCUCAGAGUCUGAGUCACCAGCUCUUAACACUGCCUGGAGAGGCCUUAAGGCAUGGUUCCUGCAGCCUCUGCCCCCGAAGCCCCCUGCGCAGUUGCCAUUUUGAGUUUUUCUGACAUCUCUGGCUAUUCCUCCAGACGUCCUUCCCAUCAUACUGCUUGCUGAGGGAAGCCCUCUGCACCCCCAGUUUCUGAGCUGACUGUUCUCCUGAUUUCUUCUGCUCUCUCUCCACUCACCGGCAAAUUUCUUCUCUUCCAGCCUGAAGGUUUUGCAUUCUCCUUUGUCCCUCCCAAAUUCUCAGCUGUCCCCAAGAGGCUGCCCGUUGGGGCCACUCACGGCCCCCCACCCUGUUGACACGCUGGAGAGAGCCGGGGCUGUUGGAGUGAGACAGGCCCGGGUCCUGUCCUAGUGCUAAUUCUUACUAAGUAAGUGUGGCCUGAGACAGUGUCACGCUGUUUCUGAGUGUAGUGUAGUGCAGAGCUGAAGAGCGAGCCUCGGGCCAGACGUCAUCUGUGCUGGAAUCCUGGCUUUGCCGUUUCACCAGCUGAGAAGACUUGAAAAGCUUGCCGACCACUCCUCUAGUCCGUGGUUUUCUGUCUUUGGAUGACGGCCCUCCUGUUCAUCUGGCAUUAAGUGCCUACCCCUGGGAUGAGGGUAUGGCAUUGGAUGGAACCAGUUGGUACAGCUGUUCUCUAGAUGCCCUUCGGUUGAUCCCAACUUACAGCUUCAUUUCCCUUCCUCUGUCCCUGGGCACUUGGAGACAGCUAGGUAUGUACUGUCAGGCCAGAGGUCACAUAAAGGAUCAGCCCAUUUGUACUUAAAAAAGAAAAGACCUUGGGGUGCCUGGGUGGUUCAGUUGGUUAAGUGUCUAAGCUUUGGCUCAGGUCAUGAUCCUAGGGUCCUGAGAUCAAGCCCCAUGUCGGGCUCCCUGCUCAGCGGGGAGCCAUGCCCCCCCUUUGUGCUCUCUCUCUUUCUCAAAUAAAUAAACUCUUUAAAAAAAAGACCUUUAUGUAAAAAAAAAAAAAAAAAAGACCUUUAUGUAGAUAUGUUCAUAUAUAUGUAAACUCGUUAAAGACUGGGAUAGUAAAUACCCAACUAUUGUUAGUGUUUAUUUCAAUGAAAAGGCUUGGGUAUUAGACUUCUGAAUUAUUUGAGAAUUUAUUCAUGUGAUGCUUGGAUAGAUAUUUCUUAGGAUGUUAACCUCAUCACCAAACAAAACAAAGAAGCAGAUGAUCAGAUUAGCCUGGAUUGGAGCCUCGGCCCCUCCUUCCUUCAUAGCUUGAAUGACCCUCAUUACAUGGGCUUGUCAGUUCAUCAGCAAGUACUGCAUACCCCCAAGAUAUGUGGACCCCAAACUCUGGUGAAUUACACCUGUCUACGGAGAUGCACCUGUGAGAUGCUAAUGGAGAGCAUGAAGCUGUGGAGAGGUGCACACUGGGAGCGGGUGGGUUAGAGUGUGCGGAGGCAGCUCCACCCCACAGCUGGGGACAUGGUGGCCCCUGGGACGGCUGGACACGGUGAUGGGAGGGCGUUCUGGGAAGUAGAAGGGGUGUUCUGGGUAAGGACAACACUGUGGACAGAGCUGUAGGGUGGGCUCUUAGCAUUAGCUGGGCUUUGAAAUGGGGCAGGGGAAAAAGUGAGUGAACCCACAGGAAUCUAUUCCUUUGGUUUCAUCACUUGAGACCACUUAAAGAUGGCAGAUUGCUUUCUUUUUUUCCCCUAAGAUUUUAUUUAUUUGUUUGAGAGAGAGUGACUGAGAGCACAACCGGGGAGGAAAGGGAGAAGCAGACUCCCCACUGAGCAGGGAUCCUGACGUGGGGCUCAAUGCCCAGGACCCCGGGAUCAUGACCCAAGCCAAAGGCAGGCAGUUAACCAACUGAGCCACCAAGGUGCCCCAAGAUAGCAAAUUUCUGUCUACUUUUCUCCCUGGGUGCUUCAGAGCUCCUGACACCAGGGAGCCAAGCCCCUUGUGGGGCUUGGAGGGACAGUAGAAUAACAACAAGCAGACAUUUCAAGAUGGAAAGACCCCUAACACCUGGGUAAAAUUCUUCAGCCAGAAUCUGGGGUCUUCCUUUCUCUUGGCGGUCUAAUUGGCUCAUGCUCUCCUUCCCCUGCCACCUCAGCUCAAGGAACCCUUGCACACUGCCUCCUCUGUGUCCCCAUCUCCUCCCUCUGUUCAAUUCUCCAUUUAGACUCAUGGCUUCCAUGAAGCUGGGAGAAGCCAUUGCAUUCAGAAGCGAGAAAUUGAGUAGAUCCUGAGCUACUGAGAUGUAGUCACCAUCACAAGACUGGUGUUCUCGUUCUCUCUCCCAGAUGGGGCAAGGUCCCAGGACUUUGUGGCAGUCUUGAGGCUCAAGUCAGCAGAAAAGUCAGCUUACUCAGGACCAGUGGGUGAAGGCGGAUCACCCACAGGAUAGCUGGUUCCCCUUCAUUGCUUGGCUCCGGCUGGUGCUGCCAGCCUGUGGCAGCCUGGUUCUGAUCCAGACUUCUUAGUGAGUGAUAACCUAUAAUUCUGGUAGUCCUGGGCCCCUCUCAGUGGGGGAUAUACCCUGUUUCUUUGAUCUUCUGCCCGCUUCCGGCCAGUGCACACAAUAUGGCAGUGUCCAUGGAUGUUGCGCUGAGACCGGGUCCGUGUGCUCCUCUCUGAGUAAAUAAGGCGAUGCCUCUAGGCAGGAAGUUGAGAGAGGGGCCAUGUUUUGGAACUCCCGAGUGUUCGGUCCAAUAGCUUUUGUAGACUGGUCUGCUUAACCCCAGAACAGCUUCUUCCUGGGUGCGGGGAUGUGGGGGUCUCUCAGCUCUAAGGGCAGGACUGUCUGUCCGUGCCUCCAUUAUCUCAUUCAGUACCAGUUCUCAGUCCUUCUGUUCAGAUGGAGCUUUGUGGGAUGCUGUAAGCCCCACAGCCAUCGUAUAGCAGCAUUUCCCAUUCCUAACAGACCACCUCUGAUACCAUGUAACCAAAGGCCGGCCACCCCAGGCAGCCCUGGAGCAGCAUUCAGAGUUGCCAAAUUUG